AUCCUUGUUCAUCCGUUUCAAGGCCCACCU
rnacentral:sRNA from 1 species